ACACGUGAUUCAGAGUUUGAUCCUGGCUCAGGACGAACGCUGGCGGCGUGCCUAAUACAUGCAAGUAGAACGCUGAAGAGAGGAGCUUGCUCUUCUUGGAUGAGUUGCGAACGGGUGAGUAACGCGUAGGUAACCUGGCCUGGUAGCGGGGGAUAACUAUUGGAAACGAUAGCUAACACCGCAUGAUAUUGAAUAUCGCAUGAUAAUUAAUUGAAAAGGUGCAAUUGCAUCACUACCAGAUGGACCUGCGUUGUAUUAGCUAGUUGGUGAGGUAACGGCUCACCAAGGCGACGAUACAUAGCCGACCUGAGAGGGUGAUCGGCCACACUGGGACUGAGACACGGCCCAG
rnacentral:rRNA from 1 species